rnacentral:rRNA from 1 species
AACGAACGCUGGCGGCAUGCCUAACACAUGCAAGUCGAACGAGACCUUCGGGUCUAGUGGCGCACGGGGGCGUAACGCGUGGGAACCUGCCCUUAGGUUCGGAAUAACUCCCCGAAAGGGGUGCUAAUACCGGAGAAUGUCUUCGGACCAAAGAUUUAUCGCCUUUGGAUGGGCCCGCGUUGGAUUAGCUGGUUGGUAGGGUAAAAGCCUACCAAGGCGACGAUCCAUAGCUGGUCUGAGAGGAUGCUCCGCCACACUGGGACUGCGACCCGGCCCAGACUCCUACGGGAGGCAGCAGUGGGGAAUAUUGGACACUGGGCGCAAGCCUGAUCCAGCAAUGCCGCGUGAGUGAUGAAGGCCUUAGGGUUGUAAAGCUCUUUUACCCGGGAUGAUAAUGACAGUACCGGGAGAAUAAGCUCCGGCUAACUCCGUG